ACUCCACUUCCACCUCUAUGUCUCGGUUCACCUAGAGCGCCGGCAUACACUGAAAGAGGCCUCCACCUAUACCGUUUCUUGCAAGCCGAGAUAGGUAAAGCAGGACUCAGUUAUCCCGGUCUUCCCCUGAGAGGCCUCAGUAUUAAGUCACUGCUGUCCCGGAAGUAUAAAAGGCUCUGUAAUAAACUGAGAUGGAAGUGAAGUAGGAAAUGUGUAAUACCUCAAAGGAGUUCCGAUGGCCUGUCGACACAACACAGAUGGCCUUUGUUAUAACACAGUACUGUCCAAGACCUCCACGUGCUGGAGAAGUAGACAGUUUUAUUCAUCCAUUCAGUCAGUGAAUGAGGUAUUAAAGGUAGAUCUGCUUAUCAUUUGAUAGGAAAUAAUAAUAAAAAAAACUUCAGAGUUUAACAAAUACUGUGAAGGAAUUAAAACACGGUGAGAAGUAUGGUGGGAAGAAUUAAUCUAGAACAGAUAUCUGAGAUGAGAAGGAGCCAGCCUUGCAACAACUGAAGAAAACCUAAACAAACAGUGCAAGUCCUGGAGUGGAGUGGGGUGGGGGUUGUGGGUAGAAAGCUUGACUCACUUCCAGGAACAGAAAGGAGGCCAAUGAGACCAGUAGGGGGUGGGUUGUAGAGAUGUGGGGUACAAGAUAAAGAUGCUGAAGUAGGCUGAGGCAGGAACUUUGAAGUCUGAUAGAACCUUCAGAUUUAUGUAUUUAUUUAUUUACUUUUGAGAUGGAGUCUUGCUCCUGCCGCACAGGCUGGAGCGGUGACGCGAUCUCAGCUCACUGCAACCUCCACCUCCCGGGUUCAAGCAAUUCUCCUUCCUCAGCCUCCGGAGUAGCUGGCAUUACAGGUGUGCGCCACCACAACCGGCUAAUUUUUGUAUUUUUAGUAGAGACGGGGUUUCGCCAUGUUGGCCAUGCUGGUCUCGAACUGCUGACUUCAGGUGAUCCACCCUCCUCAGCCUCCCAAAGUGCUAGGAUUACAGGUGUGAGGCACUGCGCCCGGCCAGAUUUUUUUUUUUUUUUUUUUUUUUUUGAGUCUGUGUCUCACUCUGUCACCCAGGCUGCAGUGUAGUGGUGCGAUCUUGGCUCACUGCAACCUCUGCCUCCCGGGUUCAAGCGAUUGUCGUGCCUCACCCUCCUGAGAAGCUGGGAUUACAGGCGCCCGCCACCACGCCCG
rnacentral:lncRNA from 10 species